rnacentral:rRNA from 1 species
CUACGUGCCAGCAGCCGCGGUAAUACGUAGGUCCCGAGCGUUGUCCGGAAUUAUUGGGCGUAAAGCGCGCGCAGGCGGAUUGGUCAGUCUGUCUUAAAAGUUCGGGGCUUAACCCCGUGAUGGAAUGGAAACUGCCAAUCUAGAGUAUCGGAGAGGAAAGUGGAAUUCCUAGUGUAGCGGUGAAAUGCGUAGAUAUUAGGAAGAACACCAGUGGCGAAGGCGACUUUCUGGACGAAAACUGACGCUGAGGCGCGAAAGCCAGGGGAGCGAACGGGAUUAGAUACCCCGGUAGUCCUGGCCGUAAACGAUGGGUACUAGGUGUAGGGGGUAUCGACCCCUUCUGUGCCGGAGUUAACGCAAUAAGUACCCCGCCUGGGGGGUACGACCGCAAGGUUGAAACUCAAAGGAAUUGACGGGGGCCCGCACAAGCGGUGGAGUAUGUGGUUUAAUUCGACGCAACGCGAAGAACCUUACCAGGUCUUGACAU